rnacentral:sRNA from 5 species
UGUAUCUGAAGUCUGACGAGGAUGAGAACCUCCGGGGGCAAGAGGUUCGACUCGAGCGAAGCGAGAGAACGUUGCGUCAGCAACGGCCCGCAGGGCGAGCCAUCCUCUAUCACCGGCAG